ACAAGCGGUGGAGUAUGUGGUUUAAUUCGAUGCAACGCGAAGAACCUUACCUGGUCUUGACAUCCCGGAGACCCUUAGGAAACUAGGGGGUGCUUCCAUCUGGAAGAAUCUGGAGACAGGUGCUGCAUGGCUGUCGUCAGCUCGUGUCGUGAGAUGUUGGGUUAAGUCCCGCAACGAGCGCAACCCUUGCCUUUAGUUGCCAGCAGUUCGGCUGGGCACUCUAAAGGGACUGCCGGUGUUAAACCGGAGGAAGGUGGGGAUGACGUCAAGUCCUCAUGGCCUUUAUGACCAGGGCUACACACGUACUACAAUGGCCGAUACAAAGGGCAGCGACACUGCGAGGUGAAGCCAAUCCCGUAAAAUCGGUCUCAGUCCGGAUUGGAGUCUGCAACUCGACUCCAUGAAGUUGGAAUCGCUAGUAAUCGUGAAUCAGAAUGUCACGGUGAAUACGUUCCCGGGCCUU
rnacentral:rRNA from 1 species